rnacentral:misc_RNA from 1 species
AAAAAAGGAAAUAUAUAACACAUUGGCUGACGAUAGGUUGCUAGAAUUGACGGAGAAUCAGAAGAGAAUUCAUCCCGCUCGUCCUCCUCACGAGUCAUGGCAUCAAUAUUUGACCAAAUACAGCCACUUUAGCUUAGGUUUGCUCCUUUACCUGUCCCAUUUUUAUUACGCUUGUUGCGUCUCUGCGCUUUCACCGAUAAACCUUGCCGGCUAUCAGCCGUCUCUCACUUUAUUAAGCAUUCCAUUUAAACUUCCCUGUUCUUCUUCUGUUUCUGUAACCUUCACCUCCACGAUUCCUUUAAAACCCUCUCUGUUAUUAUUCUGUCAUUUCUCUUUCAGUCUCUUUCUCUCCACUUCCAUAUAUUUGUUUUUUUUUCCAGUUCCCCGUCCUACAAACAUGACUUUCCUUUCUCACAGGAAAAAUUUUCCCAUUAAAAUCCCCCUUUGCCAACCCCUUUUAUGGUCAACUUGAUUUUCCCCCCUUCUUGUUUAACGAUUUUUUUCUGUGUGUACAAUCAUGAAAAUUCUUUGUAACCCAUUCUUUCUCUUGUUCGUAAUUGUUGGUUUAUUGUUUCUGCUUCGGGUUCUUUUAAUCAGGACCGGAUUAAUUUAUAGGACCAAGAAAUGGUGGAGAUCAAUUGAAGAUUGUUUUCAUGUGCAUCAAUUCUUUAAGGUCCCAGAAUUCAACGAAAGCAUGCAGGAGAAUCAACUUUAUUGCAGAGUCUCCGUUUAUCUAAACUCUCUGGCUUCCAUGGAGGACUCAGAUUUUACCAACCUCUUCACCGGAAAAAAAUCCAACGAAAUCAUCCUCCGCCUCGAUUCUGGCCAGGUAAUCGAUGAUGAUUUUCUCGGAGCUAGAGUCUCUUGGAUAAACGAAGUGAAAACCGAUGCAACCUGUUCUAGAGCUUUGCUUUUGAAGAUCAGAAAAGCAGAUAAGCGAAGAAUUCUCCGGCCUUAUCUCCAGCACAUCCACACAGUUUUCGAUGAGCUUGAGCAAAAGAAGAAGAGACAAUUGAAGCUUUAUAUGAACAUCGACAGUGAUCGAAAUCAGAGCCGACGGUGGAGAUUUGUACCCUUCACUCAUCCUUCAACGUUUGAAACAAUUGCAAUGGAAUCUGAUCUCAAAAAUAAGUUAAAAUCAGAUCUAGAGACUUUCCUCAAGGCCAAACAAUACUAUAACCGGCUGGGUCGUGUUUGGAAGCGGAGCUAUCUCUUGUACGGGCCAUCAGGUACUGGAAAAUCCAGCUUUGUUGCUGCCAUGGCCAAUUUUCUUGGCUACGAUGUGUAUGACAUCGAUCUUUCCAGAGUUUUAGACGAUUCUGAUCUGAAAUCACUCCUCUUACAAACCACACCCAAGUCGGUGAUUGUGGUCGAAAACCUAGAUCGAUUUCUGAUGGAAAAGUCAACGACUGUAAGCUUUUCAGGUGUUUUAAACUUCAUGGAUGGGAUUUUAAAUUCUUGCUCUGCAGCGGAGAGGAUUAUGGUUUUCACCAUGAACAGUAAAGAUCACAUCGACUCGGCUAUUCUUAGACCGGGUCGAAUUGAUGUCCACAUCCAUUUCCCUUUAUGCGAUUUCUCUGUAUUCAAGACAUUGUCGAAUAGCUAUUUGGGGGUGAAGGAUCACAAGUUGUUUCCUCAAGUAGAAGAAAUUUUCCAAACCGGAGCGAGUCUGAGUCCGGCCGAGAUAGGUGAGCUCAUGAUUGCACACCGGAAUUCGCCGAGUCGAGCAUUGAAAUCUGUUAUAACGGCCUUGCAAACGGAAGGUGACCGUAGAGGGUCUGUGAAUGUCGGGCGGCGUUUGCUGGAUGCCGGGUCAAGAAAUUCGACGGAAGAUUCAAGCGAUCACUUGGGGAUAUUUUGUAAAGAAAAUUUCAAUGCCGUGAAAGAUAUCAGGAAAUUAUAUGGAUUACUGAGGUUGAGAAGUAACAGAAAAGCACAAUCGUUUGACUCGACUCCGGGCCAAAACGACGGGUGAUGAUACGGGUCGUGUCGUUUCGGAUAAAUUCACAUUUGGUAAGCAUGUGGGGGCCGCACGAAGGUGAAGG